rnacentral:rRNA from 1 species
UACGUAGGUGACCAGCGUUGUCCGGAUUUACUGGGCGUAAAGAGCGCGCAGGCGGUCGUUCAAGUCGAGUGUGAAAGCCCCCGGCUCAACUGGGGAGGGUCAUUCGAUACUGAUCGACUGGAAGGCAGGAGAGGGAAGCGGAAUUCCCGGUGUAGUGGUGAAAUGCGUAGAUAUCGGGAGGAACACCAGUGGCGAAGGCGGCUUCCUGGCCUGUUCUUGACGCUGAGGCGCGAAAGCUA